rnacentral:sRNA from 15 species
GGAAGCGGGUGGAACUCCCGCGCGGUCGCGCCACUGUAACCGAUGAACGCCCACCGGCGUAUUGGAAGUCAGAC